rnacentral:rRNA from 1 species
AUGAACGCUAGCUACAGGCUUAACACAUGCAAGUCGAGGGGCAGCAUGAACUUAGCUUGCUAAGUUUGAUGGCGACCGGCGCACGGGUGAGUAACACGUAUCCAACCUGCCGAUGACUCGGGGAUAGCCUUUCGAAAGAAAGAUUAAUACCCGAUGGCAUAGUUCUUCCGCAUGGUAGAACUAUUAAAGAAUUUCGGUCAUCGAUGGGGAUGCGUUCCAUUAGGUUGUUGGCGGGGUAACGGCCCACCAAGCCUUCGAUGGAUAGGGGUUCUGAGAGGAAGGUCCCCCACAUUGGAACUGAGACACGGUCCAAACUCCUACGGGAGGCAGCAGUGAGGAAUAUUGGUCAAUGGACGAGAGUCUGAACCAGCCAAGUAGCGUGAAGGAUGACUGCCCUAUGGGUUGUAAACUUCUUUUAUACGGGAAUAAAGUGAGGCACGUGUGCCUUUUUGUAUGUACCGUAUGAAUAAGGAUCGGCUAACUCCGUGCCAGCAGCCGCGGUAAUACGGAGGAUCCGAGCGUUAUCCGGAUUUAUUGGGUUUAAAGGGAGCGUAGGCGGACGCUUAAGUCAGUUGUGAAAGUUUGCGGCUCAACCGUAAAAUUGCAGUUGAUACUGGGUGUCUUGAGUACAGUAGAGGCAGGCGGAAUUCGUGGUGUAGCGGUGAAAUGCUUAGAUAUCACGAAGAACUCCGAUUGCGAAGGCAGCCUGCUGGACUGUAACUGACGCUGAUGCUCGAAAGUGUGGGUAUCAAACAGGAUUAGAUACCCUGGUAGUCCACACAGUAAACGAUGAAUACUCGCUGUUUGCGAUAUACAGUAAGCGGCCAAGCGAAAGCGUUAAGUAUUCCACCUGGGGAGUACGCCGGCAACGGUGAAACUCAAAGGAAUUGACGGGGGCCCGCACAAGCGGUGGAGUAUGUGGUUUAAUUCGACGCAACGCGAAGAACCUUACCAGGUCUUGACAUUGAUCGCGAUCUGCAGAAAUGCGGAGUUCUUCUUCGGAAGACGAGAAAACAGGUGGUGCACGGCUGUCGUCAGCUCGUGUCGUGAGAUGUUGGGUUAAGUCCCGCAACGAGCGCAACCCCUAUUGUUAGUUGCUACGCAAGAGCACUCUAGCGAGACUGCCGUUGACAAAACGGAGGAAGGUGGGGAUGACGUCAAAUCAUCAUGCCCUUUAUGACUUGGGCUACACACGUACUACAAUGGCGUUAAACAAAGAGAAGCAAGACCGCGAGGUGGAGCAAAACUCAGAAACAACGUCCCAGUUCGGACUGCAGGCUGCAACUCGCCUGCACGAAGUCGGAAUUGCUAGUAAUCGUGGAUCAGCAUGCCACGGUGAAUACGUUCCCGGGCCUUGUACACACCGCCCGUCACACUAUGAGAGUCGGAAACACCCGAAGCCGGUGAGGUAACCGCAAGGAGCCAGCCGUCGAAGGUGGAGCUGAUGAUUGGAGUG